AGGUGCAAGUCGAGGGGCAGCGCGUCGUAACAAUACGAUGGCGGCGACCGGCGCAAGGGUGCGUAACGCGUGAGCAAUCUGCCCGUAUCAGGGGGAUAAGCGAUGGAAACGUCGUCUAAUACCGCAUAACAGCCGGGGAGGCAUCUUCCUGGUUUGAAAGCUUCGGUGGAUACGGAUGAGCUCGCGAGACAUUAGUUAGUUGGCGGGGUAACGGCCCACCAAGACCGCGAUGUCUAGGGGAACUGAGAGGUUGGUCCCCCACACUGGAACUGAGACACGGUCCAGACUCCUACGGGAGGCAGCAGUGAGGAAUAUUGGACAAUGGUCGGAAGACUGAUCCAGCCAUGCCGCGUGAAGGAUAAGGUCCUAUGGAUUGUAAACUUCUUUUGAGUGGGAGCAAUAAGGGUAUCGUGAUACCCGAUGAGAGUACCAUUCGAAUAAGCAUCGGCUAACUCCGUGCCAGCAGCCGCGGUAAUACGGAGGAUGCGAGCGUUAUCCGGAUUUAUUGGGUUUAAAGGGUGCGUAGGCGGUUUUUCAAGUCAGCGGUGAAACGCAAGGGCUCAACCCUUGACCUGCCGUUGAAACUGUUGGACUAGAAUGCGGAUGCUGUGGGAGGAAUGUGUGGUGUAGCGGUGAAAUGCAUAGAUAUCACACAGAACACCGAUUGCGAAGGCAUCUCACAAAUCCGUGAUUGACGCUGAGGCACGAAAGUGUGGGGAUCAAACA
rnacentral:rRNA from 1 species